rnacentral:lncRNA from 1 species
GGCAAAUUAAAGCCUGUUCAUGUUGUUGAUGUUCCUGGGCAUUCCUGUCUUCGGUCCAAAUUAGAAGAGUUCUUGCCUCAAGCAGCAGGCGUUGUUUUUGUGGUGGAUGCUGUUGAGUUCUUACCAAAUAGUCAUGCAGCUUCAGAGUACGUGUUACCUGCAAUUGAUUUCAAGAGUACACAUGCAUACAAGAGUAUAAAUAUUUUGGACUGUGAUUCUAACAUCUCAUGCUUUUUUGUGAUAGGUACCUAUAUGAUAUUUUAACCAAGGCAAGUGUUGUGAAGAAAAAAAUUCCAGUAUUACUACUCUGCAACAAGGUGGAUAAAGUUACUGCACACACGAAGGACUUCAUCAGAAAACAGCUGGAAAAGGAAAUGUAAGAUAAUUUUGUAAAAUGGUCAAGCUUUCACUCAAAAUAGUUACCAUUCACUCUUUCAUAUUAAUAUUAUUAUUAUUAUUAUUAUUAUUAUUAUUAUUUUGUAUGAUUAGUCUGAGGAUGUCUGAUGCUCAUUAUUUUGUAACUCACUAAAAGCACAUCAUAUAUGCAUAAAAACCAACAGCUUAGCUAUUUCUUUGACAGAGAAAAAUAGAAUUGAUUAUAGUCUUAGAACCUAACAAGUGUGUGGAGUUCCAUUUCAGCAGCAGGAGAAGGCAGGUAGAGAAUACCAAAAUUUUGUGAAUGAACUUCUCUUCUAAAGGUCCAAUCAUCUAAUGUGGGCUGAUGAUUUUUCUAAUAGUAAAUUGGGUUGUAAGUUGAGUGGUUUAACGUUCUGUGUAAACAUAGCUACAGAGCUAAAGGCAAUUACAUUGGAGUACGUUGAACAAGCUACGUUUUAUGAAAAGGAUGUUACACAAUCAAGGAAUGAUAUAUGAAAGAAAUAAGCAAUGAUUAAAUGAAAUGUAGGGGUAGAUGUUUACAAAAUGAUUCAUAGAUAGGAAAUGAUAAAACCUAAAAGUGAUCAUGCUUGGAACAUGGUAAAGACAGUGCUUAACAAUAUAUCAAAAUCAAUGAUGUUGGUCUGAGCAUAUGAAAGUAACACAGUCCAAUGAUCCAUUGAAACAUGGUGACUAUUUGAUUAUAAGCAAAUUUAGAGGACGAUGAAAAACCUAAAUGGUGAAAGAGGUUUUGUUUAUUAAUACCCAGAUAUUGUGAGUUAAAGGUAUCAUUAUGUUGGUUUACGAUAGCAG